rnacentral:rRNA from 1 species
AUUGAACGCUGGCGGCAGGCCUAACACAUGCAAGUCGAACGAGUGGCGGACGGGUGAGUAAUGUCUGGGAAACUGCCUGAUGGAGGGGGAUCACUACUGGAAACGGUAGCUAAUACCGCAUACCAUCUGAUGUUCCCAGAUGGGAUUAGCUAGUAGGGGGGGUAAAGGCUCACCUAGGCGACGAUCCCUAGCUGGUCUGAGAGGAUGACCGGCCACAAUGGAACUGGGACACGGUCCAGACUCCUACGGGAGGCAGCAGUGGGGAGUAUUGCACAAGGGGAGCAAGCGUGAUGCAGCCAUGCCGGGUGUAUGAAGAAGGCCUUCGGGUUGUAAAGUACUUUCAGCGGGGAGACGUUACCCGCAGAAGAAGCACCGGCUAACUACGUGCCAGCAGCCGCGGUAAUAC